AUACGUAGGUGGCAAGCGUUAUCCGGAUUUACUGGGCGUAAAGGGCGCGUAGGCGGUCUUGCAAGUCAGUAGUGAAAUUUCUGGGCUCAACUGGGGCGCUGCUUCUGAUACUGUAGGUCUUGAGUGUUGGAGGGGAAAGCGGAACUUCUCAUGGAGCGGUAAAAUGCGUAGAUAUGGGGCAGAACACCAGUUGCGAAGGCGCAUUACUGGACAGAAACUGACGCUGAGGUGCGCAAGCCAGGGGAGCGAACGGGAGUAGAGACCCCGGUAGUCCUGGCGGUAAACGAUGAAUGCUAGGUGUAGGUGUCGAGAGGCAUACGUGUCGGAGUUAAAGCGAUAAGCAUUCCGCCUGGGGAGUACGAUCGCAAGAUUGAAACUCAAAUGAAUUGGCGGGG
rnacentral:rRNA from 1 species